rnacentral:lncRNA from 1 species
AGUCCUUCGCCGUCCCUCGCCGUCCUUCGCCAUCGCACGCCACCGCACCCCAUCUCUCGAAAUCUGCAGACAUCUUGAUUUUUCCCACGCUGUCUGUCAGGUCUCCGCCGCCACUCGACGCCAGGGCGCCGGGCCUUGUGGGCUGUGCUGCACCUCGGACGGCUUCGCACCAGCCAGCGCCCUCUCUCUCCUGCAGCACUCUGAUCUGCACCCCCUGAGGGGCUUCCACUGUCCGCGGGGUGAGAAUGCCCCUGGGUAAGUGCCGCUGCUUCUGCGCACCUUGGGGAAGGACCCUUCUGUGGGACGCAGUAGAGGGGACAGUCAAUGAGCUCAGCCAGUUCUGAGUUCUGAGAACUGUCUGGCAAAGCGGGUGCAGAGCAAAGCGUGACUUAGGAGACGGGCUGCGCUUGGGGUCACAUGCUAGCUAAGUUCCUUCAUUCCCCUGAGGUUGACUUUCUGUAAAGUAGGGAAACUGCAAAGGCUCUCUGAGGGCAGAGGCCUUGGCUGUUUUUCUUGAUUUUGAACCCACGGUGCCUGUCCACGUGUAGAUACUCAGAACUGGUGGGCUGAAUGUACAGCCGAGGCAUUUUUACCAGAAGUCUGUUUUCCUGUGGACUCUGGGUGGGGACAGAUGGAAUCUGCCUGUGAAGUGAUGAUGGCUCUCAGGGUCCUGGGUACCCUUCUCUUCCCUGGGGGGUGAGCCUCCCUCUGGAGAUCUGGCAGCUAACACGCUGACGUGGGCUCACCUGCCCUUUUUUGCACCUGUAUUCGAAAGUGAUCGUGGGCUGCCUGUGCCCUGGUCAUUGAUAGUGCAGGGAGAGAAAUCGCGGAAAGUGCUUCCCCGUGUUUGGAGGGUCCGCUCCUGUCCCUUUCAAACUCUGGAGCUUUCUCACACCUCCUUCUCACCAUCUUUCAAAUGCCUCCUGGCACUUGGUGUCUUAUUAGUGAGUGCUCCCUGUGCAAGGCUCAGUGCAGGGUUCCAUGAGGCGUUCACCAGGGUCUAUGAGGGGUGAGUCCCUGCCUCAGGAUUGGUGGUGAAACCACAGCUGCAGCCCCCACUAGUCACACCCUGUGGCAAUUACUGGCUUGAUUGUCUUUGCCUCUCUCUAUUGUGACCUUGAGGACAGUGUCUUGAGUUUUGUUUAAUAUUUUAUUGUAUUUUUUUAGAGACAGGAUCUCACUCUGUUGUCCAGGCUGAGGUGCAGUGUGCAGUGGCGUGAUCAUAGCUUGAACUCCUGUACUCAAGUGAUCCUCGCACCUCAGCCUCCCAAAUAGCUGGGACAGACAGGGUCUCGCUAUGUUGCCCAGGCUGGUCCUGAACUCCUGGCUUCAAGUGAUUUUCCCUCAGUCUUCCAAAGUGCUGGAAUUACAGGUGUGAGCCACUUCGCCUGUCUCAGUAUCUGAGUCCUGUCUCUUGACUUACCUGGUGCUUGGUAGAUGGUUGAUUUUCAGCAGUUAUGGAACAAAUGAAAAACAGGAGAUGGGCCGGGUGCAAUGGCUCACACCUGUAAUCCCAGCACUCUGAGAGGCCAAGGAGUGUGGAUCACUUGAGGCCAGGAGUUCAAGACCAUCCUGGCCAACAUGGUGAAACCCCAUCUCUACUAAAAAAUACAAAAAUUACCUAGGUGUGGUGGCACACGCCUAUAAUUCCAGCUACUCAGGAGGCUGAGGCACACCAGAAUCGCUUGAACCUGGGAGGUGGAGGUUGCAGUGAGCCAAGAUCAUGCCCCUGCACUCCAGCCUAGGCGACAGAGUGAGACUAUGUCCCUAACAAAAAACAAAAAACAGGAGCUGGAAAAAGACAACUGUGGCUGGUCGUGGUGGCUCACACCUGUAAUCCUAGCACUUUGGGAGACUGAGGUGGGUGGAUCGCUUGAGCCCAGGAGUUUAAGACCAACCUGGGCAAUAUGGCAAAAACCUGUCUACAACACACACACACUAGCCAGGUGUGGUGGCAUGCGCCAGGAGGUGGAGGUUGCAGUGAGCCGAGAUUGUGCUACUGCAUUCCAGCCUGGGCUGCAGAGCCAGACCUUGUCUUUAAACAACAACAACAAAAAAGACUUCAGUUGUAAGGUGACAGGGCUUAGCACAUUGAUGCAUGUCAGGGAAGUAGUUUUGAGCAAGGCAGCCUGUGUGGGGGUGGUCAGAGCUAUUUCCCACUGGCCCAGUGGUCAUCCCAUGGUGUUCUCUUUGACGGUCUUGUCCGUGGGCCACCAGGAUUAAUUUCCCCACAGGAUUGUCAUUGUGAUGUCAGCGACCAAAGCCAGAGGUAUAGCUAGGCAUGGCUGAUAGAAGAGUGAGAUGUGUAAUCAGCCCUGACCCGCAGAUGACAGAUGGGCCAUCCUGCCCAUCAUAGCCCUUACUGUGUAUGCUAGACUGCGCCACGCUGGUGUGCCACACCAGAACCUGUCCUAGGUUCAGAGUCCCCUUCAGUGUACUGCUUCAGGAUCACAAAUUCAACAAUAUGUGCAUAAGAUGAGACUUAAGCUGUCCCUGAUGACUGGUUCUUCUCUAGAUGAACUCUUCGUGUUGCUGAGACCGUAGACCACUGUUAACACUAGCCAACUUUUAGGAAAUGUUUACCACCUGGUGGCUUCUGUGCCAGUACUCUCCUUGUCCUUUCCAGAACGGGUUUGACCAGGUGAUGUCUAGAUAGCUCAUCCAGGGCUUCUUGAUUCUGGCAGAGGAGGCUGAUUGGUGCAGAGAGGCCCAUGAGAGGUAUCUCCACCCUGCCAGGAAGCAGGUGGACCAUGGUGUUCUAUGAGGUCUGUCCUCUGGAGAUCUGGGGCUUUGUGUCCCACAAGGGUGGGUGCAUGCAGGUUCCCUGGGCGUGAUGUCUGGGAAGUAGAGAGAGGUGAGGUAAGAGUGUCUUUGUGCUGGCCCCAGUUUUACCCUCUUUGGGGCCAUCAUGAAUACAUUGGGUUCCUCUUGUGCCUGCUUGGGUUUAGCAUCUUUAGGGAUCCCUUAUCAUUGUUGUGUCUUGGAAUAUCUGACUCAAAAGCUGGAGGGCUUUGGCAUCAAACCUACCUGUACCUUGGUCCCAAACGCUUUACCACUACUCCCUAGCUUUGGUUCUUUUUGUGAUCUUCAGUUUUCUCGUCUGGAAAACAGGAGUACGCUGAGGUGAUUUUUCUUAGGAUCACACCGUCCCUAUCUUCCACGUCCGAAGAAGUCUGCCAGCUUUCUCAUCUGGAGGGUCUUUCCUUUACUUCUCCUGGUUGGGGCAGGUUCCGUUUAUGUGGGACAAGAUGGAAGCUGCUUCAUCCUGUGCUCUGCUGUGCCACUGUCCUGGCUCAGGCCAUUUUUCAGGCUUCUGACGUUGGUCUCCAAUUUCAACAAGCCCUGGAUCUCUUUCUGCCCCUGUGUGCAAAGUGAUUACAGGCUGCUUGUGUCUUGGUUAUUGGUAAUAAAGGAAAAGUUACAAGGUUUUCCUCUUGUGUAGAGGCACCAUUGUCCAUUUCAGACGGGAUGACCUCAGGGGACUGUGUCAGUGACCAGGAUGGGCUAGACAAGCUGUCAGUACAUUCACCUCCUGAGACACUGAUUCCCCUGGUGUGUUUUCUGUGGGUGAAUAUCGUGGUUUCCUGGACUUGCCAUAAGCAGUGCCAAGUGCAUCAGUCACAUCUUGGCUUCUUGUGCCCUGCAGGAGUGUCACAUGACUGCCGCCCCAUGUGUGUGAGAGGCGUCCUCUGGGAGAGCAUGGAUCCUGAGGUCCCAGGUAAGUGGGGUCCUGCUCAGUCCUCUAGAGCUCAAGUUCUCUGCAGGUUGUGAGGCCAGAGGUGGUUGGGUGCUGAGGAGUGGGGAGUGAGGACACCGGUGAAGGCUGCUUCCCUUUGCUCCUGUCUUUGCUCCUUCAGCAGGCAGGGACAGGCCUGGGCCCUCUUCUGCCUUCGUGGGGCUGCUGCCAAGAAGGUGCUCCCUGAGCUUGAUUGGGGCUCUGAGAGUCCCUGACAAAGACCCUGUCAUGUUGAGAGGAAAACCAUGUGUUGGAAUGGACAGAGGGGCUGCGUUUCAGAUUCAAGCCUGGAUUCAUACCCAGUGCCCGGCUGAGCAGUCUUAUGUAAGCCUCAGUGGAACAGAUAGCCAAUAUUGAUACCCUCCAGCCCAGUCUGUUAUUUAUUUAUUUAUUUAUUUUUUGAGACAGAGUCUUGCUCUGUCGCCCAGGCUAGAGUGCAAUGGCAUGAUCUCAGCUCACUGCAACCUCUGCCUCCCGGGUUCAAGUGAUUCUCCCUGCCUCAGUCUCCUGAGUAGCUGGGAUUACAGGUGCCCGCCACCAUGUCCAGCUAAUUUUUUCUAUUUUUAGUAGAGAUGGUGUUGGCCAGGCUGAUCGCGAACUCCUGACCUCUGGCAAUCCACCCGCCUUGGCCUCCCAAAGUGCUGUGAUUACAGGUGUGAGCCACUGUGCCCGGCCUAUUUUUUUAUUUUUAUUUUUAUUUUCUUUUGAGACGGAGUCUCUGUUGCCCAGGCUGGAGUGCAAUGGCGUGAUCCUGACUCACUGCAACCUCCACUUCCCGGGUUCAAAUGAUUCUCCUGCCUCAUCCUCCCGAGUAGCUGGGAUUACAGGUGCCUGCCACCAUGCCUGGCUAAUGUUUUUUUGUAUCUUUAGUAGAGAUGGGGUUUCACCAUGUUGGACAGGCUGGUCUCAAGCUCCUGACCUCAGAUGAUCCACCUGCCUCAGCCUCCCAAAGUGCUGGGAUUACAGGCGUGAGCCACUGCACCCGGCCAGCCCAGUCUUUGAGAAGAGCCCCAGGAUUCUCAAUAUUUCUGCCCAUGUUUGCCUUCCUUUCUGCUUCUGGCAGGGAGUGGUAAGUGAUCUCUGGGAGUCAGAAGCAGCAUCUGUAAUCUUAGGCUGUAAGUCUGCUCAUUGCCCUGUCAGCUGUUCUGUUCCAGGUGAGACCAUUGCCCGGAAUGCCAGCAUUGGCCUCCUUUCUGGGCUUGCCCUCUGCCCUUUCUGCCCCUGCAUUCGAAAGUGAUCAUGAGCUGCCCGUGCCCUGGUCAUUGGUAGUGCAGGGAGAGGAACUGCCGAGAGCACUUCCCCGUGUUUGGAGGGUCCACUCCUGUCUCUUCCAAACCCUGGAGCUUUCCCACACCUCCUCCCUCCCACCACGUCUUAGAUGGCUCCUGGUGCCUGGCAUCAUCUAGUGGGUUGUGUUGCUCUUCUCCCUGGCCCAGGGCAGUUAUUGUGAGACAUGAGGGAAGGGUGUGGGGUGAUGGGUUUGGCCUCAUGGAGCAGAAGGGCUGGGUGUGGAGCUGAGAUAGGGCUGCCCUGCUCCUUCCUCCCGGAAGCUUUCUCUGCCUCCACACCUCUCCUUCCACGUCCUUAUCCAGCCCCUGCACCAAGCUGAACCUGUGGAAAUUGUUGCCUGACUUGUUUCCUGGCUCUCUUUGCUGUGGUCUCAAGGGCAGUGUCUGAAUUUUGUUCCCUACUUUGUUAUGUCUGCCAGAUGGUCAGUAUUCUGACAGUGUGGGACAAAGGAAAAACGGCAGCCUGGGCAACCCCGCCUCUAUAAGAACUAAAAAAUUAGCCAGGCAUGGCGGUGCAUGCCCCUGUAGUCCUAGCUUCUCAGGAGGCUGAGGCAGGAGGCUCUCUUGAGCCCGGGAGGACAAGGCUGCAGUGAGCCAUGACCAUGCCACUGCACUCAGCCUGGGCAACAGAGUGAGACCCUGUCUCAAGAAAGAAAAACGAGAAAGGGAGAGUCCCUCCACUGUAAGGAGAUCGGGUUCAUUACAUUUUGGGGUGUUGGAGAAAAAUACUGAGUCAGCACCUGUGUGGGAUUGGUGGGAGCAGAUUUGGUGUUUUCCACCCCUUCACAGGAUUCUGAGGUAACUCAUUUCUGUUGGCCUUGGCCUUGUAUGGGGAGGAUUUCCCUCCAGCCUUGUAUGGGGAGGAUUUCCCUUGUAUGGGGAGGAUUUUCCCUCCAGCUUGUGGGAAAGGAAUCAAGGACCAGAGACAGGCAGGGGAGAAGAUCACUGAGGGAUUUACGGCAGCAGCCUCUGCACGGCUUCCCCACGACCUCCCCAGCUGCUUGCUGGACGCUGCUGGAGAAACAGCACAUCCCAAGAUCAUCAUGGCCCCAGCAUCCUCUUGAACUUAGUAACAGUUGGCCUGACAGAUGAAGCGGAUAUCAUCCCUGCCUUAGAAGUUCUCUAGCCCCUUUCUUAGAGAUAAGCUGCUAUUUCAUUCCUAAAAGAAGUCAUGGCUGUUCAGGUGAGAAGAACGGUUUAGUCAGCAUCUAUGCAACACUGUAGAGAUGCUUAGUGAGAGGUGUUGCAGGAGAGUGGCAGACCGCAGGGCCCGAGGUAAGGUUUCUUGUCCAUCUCUGGAAUUUUGGCUUUUUGCACCCUGUAAAGUCACGUCCCCUUUUUUUCUGGUGCUUUGGUGGUGACGUAGGGAGAGGUGAGGAUGAGAAGAGGAGCCAUGUCCUAUGGAUUCCCAGAUCCAGACUCCUCUUCCCUGGGAAAGCUGGAUUGGAGCUGGCCCCUCCUUCUGUGCCUUCAGGGGCUGUGGAGGAGGAGGCCCCUGCAGGGAGCUGCCUGGGGCGAGCGCUGGGGGCUUUUCCUGCAGUGCAUUAGCAGCAUGUCAUAAUGGAAAGUGGCUGGAUUUCUUUCCAGUUGUAAUCAAUGGUUAAGAUUUAACCUAGCAACAUUGUAGGGGUACACAGCCAAAUGAUUCAGGAAAAAAGAUGCAGGUUGAGUCUGGAGGAAUCCCUGUGCCAGCUUCCUCAUGCUCCCUCCCUCUCUCAGAAAUCACAUGGAACCCAUUCUCCCCUCAGCAGUGAAAAUGCAUUCAGCCUGUGUGCAGUGUUUCUGCCCAGGGAAGCCCAGUAGGGCCUCCAUGCCCGGGGUGUUUACUGGGAUCUGGUUAUGUAGACACCACCUGCCUAGCACGCACCAAAAUUCCAGACUUUCAGGAAAACAGGUGCCUGUGCCACAUUAUUUGCACGGAGAGACUGUGUCCAGUGAACGGUUCUGAUCAGUAAACUGUUGACUAGGAACAUCCCGAGAGCCAAGUUCCCAGAUGCCAGCCAAGGGCCAUCUGACCUGUUUUGAAUCUCAAUUUCCUGAUACAGAAAACAAAGGUAGGGCAUAAUUGAUUUUUACAGACGUGACCCCAUGAUCCUGCUCUCUAGUCCCCAGAUUUUUCCAGGGCUUUUGUCAGAGGUGUUUCCCCUUUGAUUCCCCUUGGUGGUUAGGUUUUAUGGGAUUUUACAGGACAGAUGGCAGCUGCAGGAGUCUUGUACUGUCCCUGACUUGGGUCAUCCCACAGGCCCUGGCACCAUCCUCCUGCCCUUCCUGGCUCUCCUGUCUGUUUCUGCUCCUGCAUCCGAAAGUGAUCAUAGGCUGCCUGUGCCUAGGUCAUUGAUAGUGCAGGGAGAGGAACGCUGAAAGAGGUUGUCCCCGUGUUUGGAGGGUCCACCCUAUCCCAUCCGAACCCUGAAGCUUUCACACAACUCCUGUUGCUCUCCUGCCAGCCCUUGAGGAGUCCGGCGCUUGCUUGGCUGCCACAUGAAAGUCAGUGCGGGGGGGCAUCAUGCUUAAGUCUUUCUCAGCUUGACCUCUCUUUGCAGAAACCAGGCUCUGUGUUCUGAGGGGUAGAUCAGGAAGGGAAUGUGAUAUGUAAUGAGUCAUGGUGUGUCGCAGUGGAUAGCACAGUUUCGAAUAAGUGCAAUAUUGGCAUAUAAACAUGAGGGAGACUUUGAGGUUGGGGUGAGCAGGGCUGACCCCGUGUGUGUGUGUGUGUGUGUGUGUGUGUGUGUGUGUGUAUGUGUAACUUGGGGACAGGAUAGGGUAGCAUCUUUACAUCUUUACAUGUCAUUGGCCUGGAAUAGGGGGUCCUGAAGGGUUUGUCGUAAGAAAGAGAAAGUGCUCAUUGCUGCAAGGGGAGCACAGCCGGGUUCUGAGAGGCAAAACACUUCCCUCACUUCCCACCCAAGAGUUUCGCCUGUUCUCUCGACCCUCUGAGGUGUGCAUUGGUGUCACUCACUGGCCACCAUUCCAGCUCUUAAUUCCUCUGCCUUUUGUGCUGGCCUUUGGGGCUCCCCUGAGGAUGACUGGUUCUCAGGUUGCCCCUGGAGGAAUGGGUGGAGUUGUAAGAUCAGGAAUAAAGCUAGAGAGGGAGGACCAAGGGGAAGUCACUGAUGCAGCCGCCGUCUAGCCCAUCCCACCCCGAUUGAGAGGUCGCUUUUUCCUGUUGAACAUGUUGGAUAGUGGAAUGUGUUAUAAGAAGUGAUAUGUGUGGCUUCUUGUCAUUGCAGGAUUGUCAGCUGACCUCUGUCCUGUGUGCCCAGUGGCCCCAGGUGACGUGUCUUCAAGAAGAGGCUGAGCUGCGGUGCUUGUAAGGGUCUCAUUCUGUCACCCAGGCUGGAGUGCAGUGGUGCAAUGAUGGCUCACUGCAGCCUCGACCUGGGCUCAAGUGAUCCUCCACCUCAGCUUCCUGAGUAGCUGGGACCACAGGUACGUGCUGCUGCACCCAGCUAAUUUUUAGAAAUUUUUUGUAGAGGCGGAGUCUCACCAUGUUGCUUGGGCUCGUUUUGAAUUCCUGGGCUCAAGCAAUCCUUCCACCUUGGCUUCCCAAAGUGCUGGGAUUAUGGAUAGUAAGUCCAGGCCUGGCCGACGUGUGGAUAGUAUCACACAAUCCCUGACUUCCUAAUCCAGUGAAUUCUCAACAUUUCACCCAGAGUUGAUCUUCCAUCUCAUUCUCUUAUGAGGGAAGCAUUUGAGUAGUGGUUCUCAAACUGUGGUCCCAGAACCAGGUACCAUCAGUAUUACUUGGGAACUUGUAAGAAGUGCAAGUUCUUAGCCCUGUCCCAACCUACUACAUCAGAAGUUUUGGAUCUGGAGCCAGCAAUCUGGCUUAACAUGGUCUCCAGGUGAUUCGUAUUCAUGCUAAAGUUUGGGAAAUCAAACCAUGUUAGAAAUCUUUGGGAAUCAGAAGCAGCUGCUGCAAUUCUAGGCUGCAAAUCUGGUCACUGACUUGUUUCCAGGUCUCUUAGUUUGGGCCCUUCCUAAGCUGCUGUCAGUGCCUCCCCUCUCAACUCACUCACUGCCCUAUUUUGUCCCUGUAUUCGAAAGUGAUCGUGGGCUGCCUUUGCCCUGGUCAUUGAUAGUGCAGGGAGAGGAAUCAAUGAAAGCGCUUCCCCGUGUUUGAAGGGUCCACUCCUAUCCCUUCCAAACUCUGGAGCUUUCGUACAUGCCUUUAUUCUCACCAGUGAUGUUACCUCCUGGUACCUGGUUGUCGUGCCAGACCCCUGUUUACCUCAUUAGGGAUGGCACCAGGUUCAACAGGCCGGAGAAGAGACCUGGAGCCAGUGAAGGAAACAGGGUUUAUCUGGGGAACUUGAGGGCAGUCAGCAGUCUAGUGGUGGGGGGCUGGAUGGGGGCACCUCAUCCACUUGUAAAAUGCAUGCAGAUUAUAUAGCACCUUCCCCCAGUAACCUCCACAUGGCAACCCUCAUUUCCUAAGAAGCUAUUGUUACAUGCAUCUACCAUACACUGGUGCUGUAUGGUUCAUUGAGUGUCCCUUGUGCCUAGCAUGGGACUCAGAGGCUCCUGUCAAAGGACAGUGAAGCAGGGACCUGCCACACUGAGUUUAUGUCUCUGAGCUAGUUUUGGAGCCACAGUAGUGGUUACCCCUUCCUAGAGCUCCCCCCAGAAGCUCUCUCUGCCUCCCCAUCACACUCCUUCCCACCUCUCAGCACUGGUCACACUGUCUGGGAAUUGUUGGUUUGCUUCUCCUGCCCACUGUGCUGUGAGCUUCCUCAGGGCAGUGCCUCUGUCUUGUUUCACAUGGUGCCUGGUAACUGACAUGUAGCACCUGGACAAACAGUAAAUGAGAAGACACAUUGUUGUAAGGUGACAAGGCUUAUCCCAUUGAGCAGUGCUGGGGUUAAAAAUGUCCUAGAACAAGCCAGCUGUUACAGUCCACCUUCAGUCCUGGCUGUGAGGAGCGUCCAUGGUCUACCAGAGGUGGAUUUUCCUUCUGGCCUUAGAUUAAGGUGGCAAGGGCUAGAGUAGUAAUCGGGGGAGACAAUAUGCUAUAGGUAUAGUCAGAUGUAUGAAUGCAGCUCUUACACACUAGAUGGUAGGUGCGGGGCUCUCCCACCCCACCUGUUCAUUACCCAUCCCAGGUCUGUGCUGAUCACUGCCAGGCAUGGCCUGCUCCAAAAGCCUUCUUGCCUUGGCAUCCUUUUUUUCUUUUUUUUUUAAUUUUUUUUUUUUUGAGACCCAGUCUUGCUCUGUUGCCCAGGCUGGAGUGCAGUGGUGCAAACACGGCUCACUGCAGCCUCUGCCUCCUGGGUUCAGUGAUUCUCAUGCCUCAGCCUCCGAGUAGCUGGGAUUAAAGAUGUGCAUCACCACGCCCAGCUAAUUUUUGUAUUUUUAGUAGAGAUGGGGUUUCACCAUGUUGGCCAGGCUGGUCUCGAAGUCCUGGCCUUAUGUGAUACAAAUAAUUGGGACAGCCUCCCAAAGUGCUGGGAUUACAAGCGUGAGCCACCACACCCAACCUGUUUUUAAAAUGUUUAUUGUCUAUAUUUGAGUUUACAACAUGAUGUUAUAGAAUAAUGGGACAGAUAUAGAUAGCACAGUGGUUACUAUGGUGAAGCCGAUGAGCAUGUCUGUUAUCUCACAUAGUCACCGUUUUUAGUGUGUGUGAGGAGCAGCUGAAACCUGCUUCACAGAAAUCCCUUAUGUUGUGCGUGAGCCCUCUAGACUUACUCAUCCUGUAUAUCUGCUACUUGGUGUCCUUUGGCCUACAUCUCCCUAUUUCCUUCAGCUCCUGCCCAUGGUAAUUACCAUUUUAUUCUCUAUCUUUGUAUGCUUGACCUUUUUUUUUUUUUUUUAACAUUGCACACAUAAGUGAGAUAUGCACUGUUUGUCUGUGUCUAGCUUAUUUCAUUUAACAUAAUAUCCUCCAGGUCCAUCCAUGUUGUGGCAAAUGACAGGAUCUUUCUCUAUCUUUUUCUUUUUUUUGGUUGAGACAGGGUCUCCCUCUGUCACCCAGGCUGA